UACGUAGGGUGCGAGCGUUGCUCGGAAUCAUUGGGCGUAAAGCGAGUGUAGGUGGCUUUGUAAGUCAGGAGUGAAAGCCCUGGGCCUAACCCAGGAAGUGCUUUUGAUACUGCAAAGCUUGAAUGUGGGAGAGGAUCGUGGAAUUCCCGGUGUAGUGGUGGAAUGCGUAGAUAUCGGGAGGAACACCGGUGGUGUAGACGGCUUUCUGGACCGUAACUGACGCUGAGACACGAAAGCGUGGGUAGCAAACAGG
rnacentral:rRNA from 1 species